rnacentral:rRNA from 1 species
GAUCCAAGAACCGCAUGGUUCUUGGCUGAAAGAUGGCGUAAGCUAUCGCUUUUGGAUGGACCCGCGGCGUAUUAGCUAGUUGGUGAGGUAACGGCUCACCAAGGCGAUGAUACGUAGCCGAACUGAGAGGUUGAUCGGCCACAUUGGGACUGAGACACGGCCCAAACUCCUACGGGAGGCAGCAGUAGGGAAUCUUCCACAAUGGACGCAAGUCUGAUGGAGCAACGCCGCGUGAGUGAAGAAGGCUUUCGGGUCGUAAAACUCUGUUGUUGGAGAAGAAUGGUCGGCAGAGUAACUGUUGCCGGCGUGACGGUAUCCAACCAGAAAGCCACGGCUAACUACGUGCCAGCAGCCGCGGUAAUACGUAGGUGGCAAGCGUUAUCCGGAUUUAUUGGGCGUAAAGCGAGCGCAGGCGGUUUUUUAAGUCUGAUGUGAAAGCCCUCGGCUUAACCGAGGAAGCGCAUCGGAAACUGGGAAACUUGAGUGCAGAAGAGGACAGUGGAACUCCAUGUGUAGCGGUGAAAUGCGUAGAUAUAUGGAAGAACACCAGUGGCGAAGGCGGCUGUCUGGUCUGUAACUGACGCUGAGGCUCGAAAGCAUGGGUAGCGAACAGGAUUAGAUACCCUGGUAGUCCAUGCCGUAAACGAUGAGUGCUAAGUGUUGGA